GCAGUACUAUAGUCUUCUGACACAUGAACAUUUUAUGUCCACAUUUACAAAGCAGCAGUGAUGAAACACUGACCAUCAGCUUAUACAGAAAGUUCCUACAUACUUCAGACCUCCCCUCUUCUCCUUCCAGAACUGCAGCAGUGAGUCUUCCCUCAGCAUCAGCUUCCUACGAGGAAGUGAGGUCCCAUCCUCUCCUUGCAUUACAUAAGCAGUGAUUCAGCAGACAGUAGCAACCUCUUCUCCAUGAUGAAGUGAUGGGAAGAGGAUGCAGAAAUAGCAACUUCCUCAAGGCUAACUAAUAAGAUUGUAUUUGCUACUUUGUGCCAUUGCAUACAAGAUCUGUCAAGCAAUGGCGAAGGCCCCC